rnacentral:misc_RNA from 1 species
AGAACAUUGGCCUGGAAGUUAAUUUCUAUUAUAACAAAUGCGUCAUGAUAUGUUUAAGUGGUUGAAAGGGCUAUGGAUAAGAACUAACAAGAGAUGAUAAUGUUCCUAGGAGACUGAACACAAAUUUCCAGCUCAUACUCUAUUUCUGGUUAGAAAUUGCUCAUCAUUUGAUAAUUAACAAGUGAAGCUACAUAAUCAUGUGAACAAAAGCAUAGUGAGACAGUUUAAAUGAUCGAAGUCCUAAAAAAGUUAACAGCAUAUCCAAAUAUCAGGAGGAAAAAUAAAAUCAUAAUCAAUAAAAGAUAUCUUGACAAUUGUGACGAGGCAGCUACCUUAUCGUCGCAGCCACAUAUUGUGCUCUUAACUUCUUUAGUCUGAAUGGCUAAUUUCUCUGAUGCUACCAGGGAUGUAAUUGUGCCUCUUAUGCUCUCAGAAAGCACUUUGCAGUGCUCUUGGACCAGUGAAUCAUUUCUUGGAAAAAAUUCAUGAUUAUCCUUGUCCAUAAACAAAUAAGAUUCAAGAUUUGAGAAAAGGCUUAUGACAAUUUCACUUGUGCUUGAGAGCAAUUUUGCAGUAGAAGACUCAUCAUCAGGUACAAAACUCUGCAUUGUUAACAAAAGAUCCUUGAAAAUUUCUUUGCAGUGGGCCACAGAUUUGCCCAGCCUUUGAGGAAUCUCUCCAAUUACUAACACUUCUUGUUUCAGUUCUGAAAUCUCCUCCAUCAAAUGCUCAUUUAACAAUGAUUGUUCUGAGUGCUUCCUCUCGAGUUCAUUCUUCUCUUCAGUGAUGAGUUCUAGUUGUCUUGUAAGAUUCUCUACUUCCUUUCUGUGGUUAUCACUUGAUAAGCCAGGAGUCAUGUCACUUGAUGGAAAGGAUUGGACUUUUCUUGCAGGGGUCAUCUGAAUUGAAUCAAGGUCGGCUAUGUAACCUUUAUUCAUUUUCAACCAAGUGUCUUCAUCAGCUACAUUGCUAAGAGUAUCUGGAAGAGGACUGUAAUCGGUAUGCCUUGAAUAAUUGGAUCUUUUGGCAACGAAGGCAUUUGGAGCUGCCUUAAAAGAAGGGGUUCUGAAAACGUCUACCCGAGUUACACUACUGCUGUCAUUGAAUUCUUCCUUGCUACAUUGACUCCCAGAAUUCUGGCCCUGACCCGCAUUCUUAUCACACUCUGGAAAUGUGACUAGAUUGCUGAGAUUGUCAAUUCUCAUCUGCUGCUCCCUGAUGCAUUGAUCCCGCUCCUUGUGUGAUUUCCUCUCUUCCUCCAGCUGCAUUUCAAGUUUCUCCCGCUCUAGUUCGUACUUCAGCAUUUCAUUUCGCAAUUUUAAGAUCUCUUGCUCCAAAACUUCAGCCCGAGAUCCCUGCAGUUUUCUGCGCAGUUCUUCUAUCUCUAACUUCUGCCGCUUCAGUAAGGCUGCAUCAGUCAAAAUCACCACAUGAGGUUAUUAAGUAGCAAGGUGCUCAUCUCGCCUUGCCUUGCUAUGCACAAGCACUCGUGUCAUUUUGCCGACACCAAAACCUCCAACCUCAAGUGUUUCCCAUUUUCAAUUAAAUCGCAACCCGAAAGUCACUUUGACACUCAUAAAUCUACAUUAAAGUUAAUGUGUUCAACUGGUUAAUCUGUUACACAUAGCAAAAUGCAAACCUCAUUCACUUGGGCACAAUUCGUGAUGCGGUUGGCUUGGCUAGCAAACUGGAGAGUUCCUUUUGUUUCUUCAAUAUGAACCUAGAAACCAUAUCACUCAAAAGGCCCAUUUGACAAUUUUAAAGAUAAUGAGGAAGAACAAGAUGAUAUAAGAAUUAAAAAAGGAUUGUAAAAAAUAAUAGGCUACCUCUUCUGGGGCUAUAGUACAUAUAAUUGAAGUUUUGGCAUUACCACCAAGAGCAGGUUGAAGUAUACGAGUUAAUUUGCUAUCACGAUAGGGAAUAUGCCCCCUUUGCUUUGGACCAUCACUUAAUUUGUUUAUCACAUUACCAAGAGCCAUCAAACUCUUGUUUAUGUGCUUUCCUUCUUUCAAACGUACUCCACCAGCUCCAGUUUUAGCAAUCCUUUCUGAUCCAGCUAAAUCUACCAAGUUCAAAACAGAGACUCGAACAGCAUCACUGCUUGAAUAAUCGGCUAAAGAGUUGGUAUCCUUCACUUUGCUUUCAAUAACCAUUCUGAAUAUUGUGUGAGACCUACUGCUGCGAACAUUCAUGUUUGUCUCCCCAAAGUGCCGAUGAACUUCCCCUGCUGCUAUGAGCUCAAGCACUUGUUCAGCAUUAUUCACAAUUUCCUCCCUGACCCCUGCAACAAAUAUACCACGCUCCAAACUCUCAUGUAUUUGUAAUUUCUGGUGCUCCACUGCUAAAAGAUCAUUAAUUUCUUCAUUAUAUAUUUCCAUAUAGGAAACCCGAAUCAGAAACUCCCGGUCAGACAUCAUAUUUAUUUUGUUAAAUAUAUCUCUAACUGCCCGAUGAAUAAUUCCAGGAUCAGUUUCAGAACCAUUCAUGGUGAAAGUCUUGCCACUGCUUGUCUGCCCAUAAGCAAAUGUCGUACCAUUGAAACCCUCUACAGCUGCAUGGAUGAUAUCUUUGGUAAGAAGCUCAUAAACUCUAGCAUUUGUGCAACUUUCAUCAAAUACAUGAUCAAAAGCAUAAGAGACGCCGGAGAUAUGGGUACCGUCAGACUUGCAAAGAGAAAUGUGAUUAUCUUCGAGCCUCCAGUAAUUUCCAUUGAAGAUUUCUUGAGACACAGCCACUGGUGGUCUCACUCUAACCGCUACACAGAUCUGCAUUUCUCUUCUCUGUUUGAUUUGAGCGUACCUG